CCUACGGGAGGCAGCAGUGGGGAAUAUUGGACAAUGGGGGGAACCCUGAUCCAGCCAUGCCGCGUGUGUGAAGAAGGCCCUCGGGUUGUAAAGCACUUUCAGUGAGGAAGAACGCCUGGUGGUUAAUACCCAUCAGGAAAGACAUCACUCACAGAAGAAGCACCGGCUAACUCCGUGCCAGCAGCCGCGGUAAUACGGAGGGUGCGAGCGUUAAUCGGAAUUACUGGGCGUAAAGCGCGCGUAGGUGGCUUGAUAAGCCGGUUGUGAAAGCCCCGGGCUCAACCUGGGAACGGCAUCCGGAACUGUCAAGCUAGAGUGCAGGAGAGGAAGGUAGAAUUCCCGGUGUAGCGGUGAAAUGCGUAGAGAUCGGGAGGAAUACCAGUGGCGAAGGCGGCCUUCUGGACUGACACUGACACUGAGGUGCGAAAGCGUGGGUAGCAAACAGGAUUAGAACCCUUGUAGUC
rnacentral:rRNA from 1 species